rnacentral:rRNA from 1 species
CGGCAACAGCUCAAAUUUGAAAUCUGGCUCUUUCAGGGUCCGAGUUGUAAUUUGUAGAAGAUGCUUCGAACGUGGUCUGGUCUAAGUUCCUUGGAACAGGACGUCCUAGAGGGUGAGAAUCCCGUAUGUGA